UUUUAAGAACAUUCUGUAGUACUUUGAUCCAUUCUUCUAAGAUGUUUGGAGAAUCUGCAGUCAGGUAGUAUGUUCGUUUUUCUGUGGUAAGCUGGAUUGUUUGUUUCCCAUCACCCCUUUCAAUGUGGCUAGAUGCAUUUAGCUCAAUUUGACCUUGAGGCUUUCGAAUUACAUCACUUGGAGAUUUGUAGUACAGUAAUUCACCUCCUUUGAGCACAAACCACCGUCGUUUCCAAGUCUUCACUUUACCACUCAUUUUUAACAGAUAGCCAGAUUUUUCCAAAGGUUCAUUUUUUCCAUUAUCACUGGAUGAGGAGGAGGUUUUAGGAAGUUUCUGCUCUGGCUCUGAAUAGUCUGUGUCUACUGAAUAUGCAUCAGGAGGAAUAGCGUAGUCGCAGUCUGAGGUCACAGAAGACAGAGACACA
rnacentral:lncRNA from 1 species